GACGAACGCUGGCGGCGCGCUUAACACAUGCAAGUCGAACGGAAAGGCCUGCUUUCCCUUGUGGAUUGCGGGUACUCGAGUGGCGAACGGGUGAGUAACACGUGAGUGAUCUGCCCCCAACUUGGGUAUAAGCCUGGGAAACUGGGUCUAAUUCCCGAUAGGACUGCAGGGUGGUGCCUGUGGUGGAAAACGAUUUUCUAGUGGUUGGGGAUGAGCUCGCGGCCUAUCAGCUUGUUGGUGGGGUAAUGGCCUACCAAGGCGGCGACGGGUAGCCGGCCUGAGAGGGUGGACGGCCACAUUGGGACUGAGAUACGGCCCAGACUCCUACGGGAGGCAGCAGUGGGGAAGAUUGCACAAUGGGCGGAAGCCUGAUGCAGCGACGCCGCGUGGGGGAUGACGGCCUUCGGGUUGUAAACUCCUUUCGACCGCGAGGAAGCCACCUGGUUGGAAGGGUGGCGACGGUAGUGGUAGAAGAAGCACCGGCUAACUACGUG
rnacentral:rRNA from 1 species